CCGCUUCGCAGUAGACGGACAGAGGAGUCGUAGCGGUCGAGGCUUUUGCGGCUCCGGCGUGCCGGAAAGAAAACGUCAAUUAUGACAGCAGGUAAUUUUAUCGGAAGUGUUUAUAACUAUAUCCCAGUACGUGGAACGAAAAAGUUAUCAAGAAAUAUUUAUUGAAUGUAAAAAAGGUAUGUUAUGCAUAAAAGUGGAUAAUUUACAUGAUAAAUGAAAAUGGCCAAUUCUUUAAGAGGAGAAGUACUAAAACUUUAUAAAAAUGUAAGUAAUUAUGUUGCCAAUUUUAUAAAAAUGUUAUUAUAUGACAUGGAUUGUUUAGAAAUAUAUAAUCUUUCUUUUUGAAGCUGCUGUAUCUUGGACGAGACUAUCCAAAAGGAGCAGACUAUUUUAAAAAGCGUUUGAAGAACAUUUUCCUUAAAAACAAAG
rnacentral:lncRNA from 10 species